GUGGUGGAGCAUGUGGUUUAAUUCGAAGCAACGCGAAGAACCUUACCAACUCUUGACAUCCCAUUGACCGCUUGAGAGAUCAAGUUUUCCCUUCGGGGACAAUGGUGACAGGUGGUGCAUGGUUGUCGUCAGCUCGUGUCGUGAGAUGUUGGGUUAAGUCCCGCAACGAGCGCAACCCCUAUCCUUAGUUGCCAGCAUUUAGUUGGGCACUCUAGGGAGACUGCCGGUGACAAACCGGAGGAAGGUGGGGAUGACGUCAAAUCAUCAUGCCCCUUAUGAGUUGGGCUACACACGUGGCUACAAUGGGA
rnacentral:rRNA from 1 species